GGCCCGGUAGCUCAGUUGGUAGAGCAGGGGACUGAAAAUCCCCGUGUCGGCGGUUCGAAUCCGCCCUGGGCCACAA
rnacentral:tRNA from 2 species